rnacentral:tRNA from 1 species
GGGGUUGUGGCUCAGUGGUAGAGCGCUCGCCUAGCAUGUGCAAGGUCCUGGGUUCGAUCCUCAGCACCA